rnacentral:rRNA from 1 species
GACGAACGCUGGCGGCGUGCCUAAUACAUGCAAGUCGAACGCAGUGGGGACGGGUGAGUAACACGUGGGUAACCUCCCAUCAGAGGGGAUAACACUUGGAAACAGGUGCUAAACCGAUACUGAUGGAUGGACCCGCGGUGGAUUAGCUAGUUGGUGAGGUAACGGCCCACCAAGGCCACGAUGCAUAGCCGACCUGGGAGGGUUGUCGGCCACACUGGGACUGGGACACGGCCCAGACUCCUACCGGAGGCAGCAGUAGGGAACCUUCGGCAAUGGACGAAAGUCUGACCGAGCAGCGCCGCGUGAGUGAAGAAGGUUUUCGGAUCGUAAAGCUCUGUUGUUAAGGAAGCGGUACUUAACCAGAAAGGAACGGCUAACUCCGUGCCAGCAGCCGCGGUAAUAC